UAGGGAAUCUUCCGCAAUGGACGCAAGUCUGACGGAGCAACGCCGCGUGAGUGAAGAAGGAUUUCGGUUCGUAAAACUCUGUUGUUAGAGAAGAACAGCGCAUAGAGUAACUGUUAUGCGUGCGACGGUAUCUAACCAGAAAGCCACGGCUAACUACGUGCCAGCAGCCGCGGUAAUACGUAGGUGGCAAGCGUUGUCCGGAUUUAUUGGGCGUAAAGCGAGCGCAGGCGGUCAAUUAAGUCUGAUGUGAAAGCCCCCGGCUCAACCGGGGAGGGUCUUUGGGAACUGGUUGACUUGAGAGCAGAAGAGGAGGGUGGAAUUCCAUGUGUAGCGGUGAAAUGCGUAGAUAUGUGGAGGAACACCAGUGGCGAAGGCGACUCUCUGGUCUGUAACUGACGCUGAGGCUCGAAAGCGUGGGUAGCAAACAGG
rnacentral:rRNA from 1 species